UACAGAGGGUGCAAGCGUUGUUCGGAAUUAUUGGGCGUAAAGAGCUCGUAGGCGGUUUGUCGCGUCUGCUGUGAAAACCUAAGGCUCAACCUUGGGCUUGCAGUGGGUACGGGCAGACUAGAGUGCGGUAGGGGUGACUGGAAUUCCUGGUGUAGCGGUGGAAUGCGCAGAUAUCAGGAGGAACACCGAUGGCGAAGGCAGGUCACUGGGCCGCAACUGACGCUGAGGAGCGAAAGCGUGGGGAGCGAUCCGG
rnacentral:rRNA from 1 species